UGGGGAAUAUUGCACAAUGGGGGAAACCCUGAUGCAGCGACGCCGCGUGAACGAAGAAGGUAUUCGUAUCGUAAAGUUCUGUCCUAUGGGAAGAUAAUGACAGUACCAUAGAAGAAAGCUCCGGCUAAAUACGUGCCAGCAGCCGCGGUAAUACGUAUGGAGCGAGCGUUGUCCGGAAUUAUUGGGCGUAAAGGGUACGCAGGCGGUUAGAAAAGUCUGAAGUGAAAGGCAGUGGCUCAACCGUUGUAGGCUUUGGAAACUGUUUAACUUGAGUGCAGAAGGGGAGAGUGGAAGUCCAUGUGUAGCGGUGAAAUGCGUAGAUAUAUGGAGGAACACCGGUGGCGAAAGCGGCUCUCUGGUCUGUAACUGACGAUGAGGCUCGAAAGCGUGGGGAGCGAACAGG
rnacentral:rRNA from 1 species